rnacentral:misc_RNA from 1 species
CUAAUUGUCAAAACUAUUGUUUCAAGCUUUGUUUGGAUCUUCAAGCUGUGAUUGUUUCGCCAGACUACCGUUUGGCUCCGGAAAACAGGCUUCCGGCGGCCAUUGAAGAUGGGUUCUUGGCUGUGAAAUGGCUUCAAGGUCAGGCGGUUUCUGAGGAGGCGGAUACAUGGCUGACUGAGGUGGCUGAUUUUGGGAAGGUGUUCAUUUCUGGUGAUUCUGCCGGUGGGAAUAUUGCUCAUCAUUUGGCUGUCCGGCUGGAGGUUGGUUCACCAGAGUUGGGUCCUGUUCAUGUCAGGGGUUAUGUGCUUUUGGCACCAUUUUUCGGUGGAACUGUGUGGUCUAAGUCGGAAGCUGAGGGACCAAAGGAUGCAUUCCUUAAUUUGGAGCUCAUUGACAGGUUUUGGAGAUUAUCAAUCCCCAUUGGAGAUACAACUGAUCACCACUUAGUGAACCCAUUUGGACCUCAGAGCAAGUGUCUUGAAUCAAUCAAACUUGACCCAAUCUUAGUAGUGGUGGGAGGAAGUGAUCUGCUGAAAGAUCGUGCCAAGGAUUAUUCAGAGAGAUUGAAAACUUGGGGAAAGAAGAUCCAGUACGUUGAGUUCGAAGAACAGCAACAUGGGUUCUUCACCAUUUAUCCCAACUCUGAACCAGCAUCCAAGUUGAUGCUUCUCAUCAAAAGUUUCAUUUCUGAAAAUUUUUGCUAAAAAUCUACAUUUGUAGCAAAUCACAUAACCUAGCAAUCUUACUUGUGUGCCAUAUGCCCUAAUGUUUAUUGUCGUCGUUUUUAUGUGCAAUUUUCC